AGAGAGACUAGGUAAAAAGUAAAAAUUAUAUAUAUAUAUAUAUAUAUAUAUAUAUAAACAGGGAUUUAGAUCUGCGGGAAAAAUGAAUAAAGUGCUGCAAUGAAUGCUAAAACUAAAUUCUGAACUGAAACAGAGGGCAGGGGAAAAUAUUUUUCUGGUGACAUGGUAACAGACAUGACAAUACUGGUUGUGCUGCUGAUGACCCCUUGUUUAAAAUUACAUAUAGACAUGUGAUGCUUCACCCUCCUUUCCAUAUGCUCCAUUGCAGGUGGAGCUGCAGGCCCUCCAGGUGGCUGACCCGGAUCUGGACUCCUGUCCCCCUCCGAGAAGACAUCAACCUGUUCAACAGUAUGCGGACCGAGGCAAGGCUGGGGAGCGAGGCGAGCUCAGCAAGCAGGGCGGCUCUGACGGAGCAGCGGGUGAAAACUACGGGAGGAUCCCUCCCUCAUCAGACCCAGUCACUCCCAAGGCAGAGCAGACACAAGAGUCAUCUCAAAGCCAGAACUGGACUUUAUUCGCACCUCUCUGUUUUUCACAUGCCAGAGAAAUGGGAAACAGCGAGUAAACCAAGGACAGAUUCAUCAAUUCCCUAUGCUGGAGGUGACAGGAGUGAAUGAACCCCAUGUUUAGACCAAGGACUGCAGCUGACAUCCAGGCCAGCGCUGCCCUCCUCUCUAAUCCCAGAGAGGAAGGACAAAGGUUGCUGCAGAAAGUAAACUUUGUCUGGAGACUGGAGUCAAAGAAGAGACACUGAUCUGCACAAGGUUGCCCUAAUCCUGUUUUCUGAUGGAUCUCACCGAGGAAGAUCUAACCAUCGUGGACAUGGUCAUGCACGUCAGGGCAUAGGUUGUGGACAGUGGUCUCGUUCUGAUGCAUGUUGCAACUGUGGACAAUUGGGACAUUGGAAGAACGACUGCCCGCAGGGACCGCAGCAGCCUGGUGCCGGUAACUGACAGGUGGGGGAUCGGACCCUGGAUCCGGAGGCCAACCUCGUUGAGAAGGGACCUGCCAAGGGGCGUGAGGCUUCACACACACACACACACACACACACACACACACCGCUACACCUGUGUUUGAAUGCUGAAAUGGUACCUGCUUCAACUGAUCCACAUAGUUUGCUCACAGAGGCCAUCACACACUUAGAAUGUGCCACAGCUGCUACAACAGGCACGCAUCUCCAUACAAAAACCCCUGUCCCUUAAAAAAAAAAAAAAAAAAUGCCUUCAAAAAUGUUUUCUACGCUAGUAAUAGGUGAAGAAAUUUAUUUUGUUGUUGACUCGGGUGCAACUCACUCUUAUCUGCUAAAUGUAUCAAGUAACAGCCAAAGCUCAGUGGCUGUUAUGUUUAUUCUGUCUCAGCUUCAGUUAGGAAAAGUUUUUCUGUUUCUUUUAAAGUGUUUCACUCCGCAGGGAGUGAAGCUGAAGCAAUUUUUUUUUCUUUUUUUUCGGUGUCUCGUCUGUGUCCUUUAAAUCUUAUGGAUAGAGCUUUGAUGUGUAGAUUGGACAUUAUCAUUUUAACCUCUGACGGACUGACGGUUCACACUCAGGACUCUGACUUUACUGCAGUACUUUGGGCCCUAGAUAAAUCUUUGUAUGCAUACGAAUGGAAGCUUCCAGCUGCUCCUGUGCCUUAACAUUUUGUCUCAGCAGUAAAUGCUGUGACACCUGACAGUGACAUAAUGAUUCACAUGACUUACAUAGUAUUCCCCUUGUGUCUGACGGACUUGACUUUGACUUGUGGAAACUUUCUCAUUUAAUACAUUGAUGAUUUGUUAAUCAUCAAUGCAGGACAGACAUGUUGAAAUAGCUUUAACAUCUCUUUUAAAAAAAACAUAAAGUCUCAAAAUCUAAAUGCAGUUUGUGCAGGAGGAAGUCAAAUCUUUUGGCCAUGUUCUUUCACAUAAAAGCAAAAAGUAGUCACCUCAGCGGAUCAAAGUGGCUCUAAAAAUCCUAAAACAAAUCACAAAGAAACAAAUUAUUUAAUUUCUGGGUAUGACAGGUUACUGCAGAGCUCACAUUUCAAACUACUCCAAGCUUGAAUCUCUGUUGGCUGCUUUAAUUCACGGACAGGGACUAGCAGCUGCUGGUAAAAUCAUAUGGACGUCUGAGGCAGAACUGGUUUUCUCUGCUCUGAAAGCAGCCUUGUCCUCUGCACCGGUGCUGGCUUUGCCAAACUCUGACAAACCAUUUAUUUAAAUGAUGGAUAAAAAAUCUGAUUUCAUGUCAUCUGUUUUGUUGCAAUCUCAUGGUGACAAAUUGCGACCUGUGGCCUAUUAUUCCAUUAAACUUCACGCUGUUGCAGCUGGUUUGUUUGUUGGCUACAACUCUCUGACAGUUUUUGUUCCACAUUCUGUUUCUAUCAUCCUCCUGGAACAAAAGACUUCCUAUUUAUCAGCAGCAAGGUGGCUUAAACUUUCCUAAAUUUAAUUGGACAUACAUGACAUUACUGUAAAACGAUGCAGUAUUUUAAACACAGCCACACUUCUGCCUACAGAGGAGGAUGAGUAAAGUCAUGACUGCGCAGCUGUCUUAAAUGUCGUUUGUACCCCUCGUCCUGACUUACAAUACAUUCCUUUGUCUAACACCGACCUCGAAUAUAUGUUGACGGCUCCUCCUCCCGUUCUGCUCCAGGUUUAAACUGAAAUGGGUUUGCUGUGUUCUGACUCAGAUGUUUUACGCUCAGGUCCUUUACAGCACUCCUAUUCUGCUCAAACAGCUCAACUCAUCACCUUAAGUGAGGCUUGUAAGUUGGUGGAAGGAAAAACUGUGGUAUGGACACAUGAAUUGGAUCAUGCGUCCAGAGAGGCGAUGCUGGAUAUGGUUAAAAAAUAUUGGUACACAAAUGGGUUUUCAGUGGUAGCUGAAAAAUUACUGCAAAAAGUAUUUGAUCUGUGCUUCUUACAACCCGUCUAGGGUUCCUGCACAGCCACAAACUGCACAUCCGCCUCUACAAUUUCCAUUCCCACAUCUGAUAAUGGAUUUGAUUAAGCUGACACCUGUUGAAUGAAAUAAAUAUUGUCUAGUGGUCGUGGACAUGUUUUCCAUGUAUGUUGAAGCUUUUGCAAUGAAAAACGCAGACAGCAGUGCCGUUGCUAAAGCCUUAUUAAUGGAGAUCUUUUCCAUGCUGGGGGGUCCAGGAGUUAAUUUCCAGUGAUAAUGGGACAUAAACAAAUCUCUGCAGGAAAUCAGCAAACUUCUGAGUUUCUAAUUAAUAAUAAUAAUAAUAAUAAUUGAACAUUAUUGAUCUCACAGUGGAUAAAUUCACUUCUGCAUCUUAACCCAUCCCCUAGGGGAGCUGUGGGCUGCCGCUGUGCGGCGCCUGGGGAGCAGGCUGGGGUUGGGGGUCUUCCUCAGGGACCCAGAGUGCAGGCUGUGGGGAUCAAACCGGGUACUUGCAUCCUUCUCUGAGUGCAGGCGCACUGCCCUAACCACUAGGCCACCACUCCACCUUAAUUAAAAACAUAUUGUGCUUAUCAUCCAAAUCAGGAGUAGCUGUAGAAAAGGAAAGGUUCAC